UACAGAGGUCUCAAGCGUUGUUCGGAUUCAUUGGGCGUAAAGGGUGCGUAGGUGGCAUGGUCAGUCAGAUGUGAAAUCCCGGGGCUCAACCCCGGAACUGCAUUCGAUACUGCCGUGCUGGAGUACUGGAGAGGAGAUUGGAAUUUACGGUGUAGCAGUGAAAUGCGUAGAUAUCGUAAGGAAGACCAGUGGCGAAGGCGGAUCUCUGGACAGUUACUGACACUGAGGCACGAAGGCCAGGGGAGCAAACGGG
rnacentral:rRNA from 1 species